AUUAUAUCAAGUGUCUUGUAUAAAUGCCAUGUGUAUUUAUUAUGUUAAUUUUAAGUGGUUGUUCAUAUGUAUAAAGCUGUACAAAGUGUAUAGAGUGUUGGUCAUGUGACCUGCAGUCAUGUGACAUACCCAGAGUUCCAAGGGUACAGGUACCCCAGGCAACUAGCAACCAAUGGCCUUUAGUCCAGCCCCCUAGUAUAUAAGGGGCUGUAGUCUCCAGAUUCUCUCUCUUAAUUCAUGGACCUAAAAGGAAGCACAAAGUCCUGUAUACUGCAAAUUCAUCUCCAGCAGCCACUUCUAAACCGGGAGUCUAGAAUCUGGUACCAGCUUGAAGAAGCGCCGUUUCCGGCGUGAAACAGCCGGUCCUGGUGUACGCCCCCUGCCUCUCUCCAUUCACCUGCUUCUGCUACCUGGAAUGCUGCAAUAAAGCUCCGUUACCAUUGUUGUUGGUGUAUGGAUUCUGAAGUCACAGUGGGCGCUAAAAGAAGGCAAAGAUGUAAUCAAUGUGGGGAGUGACCUGCACAUCGGAGUCGGUGGGGCAAUACCGCACGGAUUUUGACAGAGAAUGUGUGUGCCUUAUGGCUGGUUUGAUAUACUAAUUUAAAAUAAAAGCUGUGGCCGACCUCUACCCAC